rnacentral:rRNA from 1 species
UACGAGGGAUGCAAGCGUUAUCCGGAAUUAUUGGGCGUAAAGCGUUUGUAGGCGGGCGAGUGUGUUUAAUGUUAAAUCUUAAAGCUCAACUUUGAAAUUGCGUUAAAAACUGCUUGUCUUGAGUAUGGUAGGGGUAAAGGGAAUCCCCAGUGUAGCGGUGAAAUGCGUAGAUAUUGGGAAGAACACUAAACAGCGAAGGCACUUUACUAGGCUAAUACUGACGCUGAGAAACGAAAGGUAAGGUAGCGAAACGGAUUAGAUACCCGUGUAGUCUUACCCGUAAACUAUGGACACUAAACGGUAAAUUUUUAAUUUACUGUUAAAGCUAACGCGUUAAGUGUCCCGCCUGGGGAGUAUGCUUGCAAAAGUGAAACUCAAAGGAAUUGACGGGGGCCCGCACAAGCGGUGGAGCAUGUGGUUUAAUUCGACGGUACACGAAGAACCUUACCAGGAUUUGACAUGCUAGAUAGUUGCUUGAAAGAGUAACGUGCCGUAAGGAAUCUAGACACAGGUGGUGCAUGGCUGUCGUCAGUUCGUGUUGUGAAAUGUUGGGUUAAGUCCCGCAACGAACGCAACCCUUGUCUUUAGUUAUUUUCUAAAGAGACUGCCUGUAAUAAACAGGAGGAAGGUAAGGAUGAGGUCAAGUCAUCAUGCCCCUUAUGUCCUGGGCUACACACGUGCUACAAUGGGAAAGACAAUGAGCUGCAAAUCUGUAAAUUUAAGCAAAUCUCUUAAACUUUCUCGUAGUUCGGAUUGUGGGCUGCAACUCGCCCACAUGAAGUUGGAAUCGCUAGUAAUCGCCAGUCAGCUAUAUGGCGGUGAAUCCGUUCCCGGGCCU